GGAUAAUUAUGUUAUAGGUUCCGAUUGUACACUAACAAAGUACAUUUGGAUAAAGACAAGUCACAAUUGAUGAAAUUUUCAAAAGGUUCACAAGUCAAGAGGAAACGUCUAAACAAAAACAAGUUUAAUUUAGAACCCCCUAUUUAGAAUAUUUUCAAGAUUUUGUUCAAUUUGUUGAGUUUGCAAUUUCGAGCAAGGGUGUGGUGAUUUUUCUACAAGACCCACGUCAUAUUUCGUUAAUGGUGCCUUUAGUAUUAACUUAAGGGGUACCUUGUUCAAGGUUUUGUUUCGUUUGAGUUACUUUAAUGUUGUAUGAGUUCUUCAAGUGGUAUUCAAUACAAGAUUUUAAAGGUUGAAUUUCAAUGGAAAUAGAACGAGUUUAGUGAUACUCACCAGAAAUAGAAAUGCACUGUUUGGCCUUCCUCCGACGUGGUGACAGGUGCGUCGGACAAUGGAUUACUAUUCCCGACAUCUACAGUGUUGCAUCGGAGGAAAUACAGAUCAUUAAUUGUACGUUACGCCUUCCUUCGAUGAGGUGUCAGCAAUGUCGGAAAUAGUUUAGAAAUUCCCGACGUGUCACUUAUAGCGUCGGGAAGUGACACGUCGGGAAUAGGGUUUAGGGAUUCCUGACGUGUCACUAAUUGCGUCGGAAAUAUGAUGCUAUUCUCGACGUUUUCGUUGUGCGUCGGGAGUUCUCCGUCUUUUUUAACUCCAUUCUUUACAGAAUGAAAACAGAAAAGAGAAUCGAUAAAGGGAGAGGGAGACCGAGAGGGAGAUCGUGAAGAAGAGAGCAUUCGUUGUCGUUGCCAUUUCCGUUGUCGUUGUCGUCGUCAUUACAUAUCGGUAUACCUUUUUUGAUGUUGUUUUUGUUUUAUUAACAUAAUACAUUAGGAUUUUGAAUUAGAAAAUACGAUUUUGAAUUAGUUUUUAUUGUAGGAAUUGGAUUUUUGAAUUAUGUUUUAGUUUGAAAUUUAAGAAUUGUGUGUUUGAUCAAAGGAAUCAACCUUUGCAUAUUUCUAUUUUAGAAAUCCAACUGUGUGA